rnacentral:rRNA from 1 species
AUGGACAAGUACAAGGGAAGGGUAGAUGAGGCGCCGUCGAUCGGCUCCAGCAGCUGGGUGGUGGAGAUGGAGGCGACGAUCCGCGACAUCGACCCGGAGGUGGAGAUGGCGCGGUGGAAGCGCCACUCCAUCUACCAGGUGCCGGAGCGGAUCAAGAACCUGCACAACAGCAAGGCGUACCGGCCGGAGCUGGUGUCGCUGGGGCCCUUCCACCACGGCGAGCCCGACCUGCUCCCCAUGGAGGAGCACAAGCGCCGGGCGGUGGUGCACCUGGUCAAGCGCUCCGGGAGGCCGCUGCGGGACUUCGUCGCGGCCGUGGCGGAGGUGACGCAGCAGCUGCAGGAGGCGUACAAGGACCUCGCCGGCCAGUGGCGCGGCGCGGAGAACAGGCAGCGGUUCGUGGAGCUCAUGGUCACCGACGGCUGCUUUCUGGUGGAGGCCAUGAGGAUGGACGCGCUGGGUGGCAAGGUGGACGAUGAUUACGCGCCCAACGACCCCGUCUUUAGCCAGUAUGGCUAUCUUUACAUGUGGCGGUAUAUCCAGUCUGACAUGGUCAUCAUGGAGAACCAGCUGCCUCUGCUUCUUCUCCACAGGCUACUAGUCGUUCUGGAUCAUGACAGAUAUCAGGACGCCCGAGAGAUCACCAAGUUGGUUCUUGAUUCCCUGUGUCCGUGGCGUCGACACGUGGUUGAAACUAACCCAGUGGGGCUACACCCCCUCGACAUCUUACACCAAAGUCUUACCCAUGAUGACCACCAAGACCGGAAAGGUUCGAAGGCGUAUGUCAUGCCCUCCGCAAUUGAGAUCUACGAAGCAGGAAUAAAUUUCAAGGUGAGCGAGACUGACAGCCUCCUCGACGUGCACUUCGAACAAGGAGUGCUAAGCAUCCCGGCAGUUAGGGUCGACGAAUGCACCGAGAAGAGGUUCCUUAAUCUGAUGGCAUUCGAACGGCUCCACCCUGCUGCUGGCAAUGCUGUGACGGCCUACGUGAUCUUCAUGGACAACAUGAUUAGCUCGGCCAAGGAUGUAGCCCUGCUCAGAUGUACGAAUAUUAUCGAGAGUGGGUUGGGCAGCGAUGAAGAGGUAGCUAAACUCCUCAACAACACGCUAAACAAGGGAGGAGUGAUGAGCCCAUCUAGCAGGCUCCAUGAUGUGCAGAGGCAGGUGAAUGCCCACUGCAUGAAGAGCUGGAAUAGGUGGCGAGCUAACUUCAUACAAACCUACUUGAGAAAUCCUUGGGUGUUCAUUUCCCUCGUCGCCACUGUUAUUCUAUUAGUUGCUACACUCUUGCAGACCGUCUAUACGGUUGCACCUUUCUAUAAGUACAUGUCAACCUAG